rnacentral:rRNA from 1 species
UACGGGGGGAGCAAGCGUUGUUCGGAUUUACUGGGCGUAAAGGGCGCGUAGGCGGCCACCGCACGUCGGUUGUGAAAUCUCUGGGCUUAACCCAGAAAGGUCAACCGAUACUGCGGGGCUAGAGUGCAGAAGGGGCAACUGGAAUUCUCGGUGUAGCGGUGAAAUGCGUAGAUAUUCGGAGGAACACCAGUGGCGAAGGCGGCUCACUGGUCCAUUACUGACGCUGAGGUGCGAAAGCGUGGGGAGCAAACAGG